rnacentral:rRNA from 1 species
GACGAACGCUGGCGGCGUGCUUAACACAUGCAAGUCGAACGGAAAGGCCCUGCUUUUGUGGGGUGCUCGAGUGGCGAACGGGUGAGUAACACGUGAGUAACCUGCCCUUGACUUUGGGAUAACUUCAGGAAACUGGGGCUAAUACCGGAUAGGAGCUCCUGCUGCAGGGGGGGGGUUGGAAGGUUUCGGCGGUUGGGGAUGGACUCGCGGCUUAUCAGCUUGUUGGUGGGGUAGUGGCUUACCAAGGCUUUGACGGGUAGCCGGCCUGAGAGGGUGACCGGCCACAUUGGGACUGAGAUACGGCCCAGACUCCUACGGGAGGCAGCAGUGGGGAAUAUUGCACAAUGGGCGGAAGCCUGAUGCAGCAACGCCGCGUGCGGGAUGACGGCCUUCGGGUUGUAAACCGCUUUCGCCUGUGACGAAGCGUGAGUGACGGUAAUGGGUAAAGAAGCACCGGCUAACUACGUG